rnacentral:rRNA from 1 species
UACGUAGGGACCGAGCGUUGUCCGGAUUCAUUGGGCGUAAAGAGCUCGUAGGCGGCUGCUCAAGUCGAAUGUGAAAACUCGGGGCUUAACCCCGAGCCUGCUUCUGAUACGGGCAGACUAGAGGUAUGCAGGGGAGAACGGAAUUCCUGGUGUAGCGGUGAAAUGCGCAGAUAUCAGGAGGAACACCGGUGGCGAAGGCGGUUCUCUGGGCAUUACCUGACGCUGAGGAGCGAAAGUGUGGGGAGCGAACAGG